rnacentral:rRNA from 1 species
CUCCCGGCACGGGGAGGUAGUGACAAAAAAUWACGAUGCGGRACUCUUUUGAGGCCCCGKAAUCGGAAUGAGUACACUUUAAAUCCUUUAACAAGGAUCCAUUGGAGGGCAAGUCUGGUGCCAGCAGCCGCGGUAAUUCCAGCUCCAAUAGCGUAUAUUAAAGUUGUUGCGGUUAAAAAGCUCGUWGUUGGUUCUGCGUGCUACGCUGCUGGUUCGCCACCUGCUGGUGUAACUGGCAUGUCGUCGCAUGUCCUGUCGGUGGUGUGCGGGAGCCUCGUCUAGGUGACCUCUUGGGCCUCAGGUUCGAGUUGGUUGGCCGGGGGUCUAACCCGUACGCCUUCUCUACCUACCUAGGUGCUCUUCACUGAGUGUCGAGGUAGGCCGACACGUUUACUUUGAACAAAUUAGAGUGCUCAAAGCAGGCUGAAAUUSCCGCCUGAAUAGUGGUGCAUGGAAUAAUAAAACAGGACCUUGGUUCUAUUUUGUUGGUUCUUCUUGGCAAAUGCUUUCGC